UGAACGCUAGCGACAGGCUUAACACAUGCAAGUCGAGGGGCAGCAUGAUUUGUAGCAAUACAGAUUGAUGGCGACCGGCGCACGGGUGAGUAACGCGUAUGCAACUUACCUAUCAGAGGGGGAUAGCCCGGCGAAAGUCGGAUUAAUACCCCAUAAAACAGGGGUCCCGCAUGGGAAUAUUUGUUAAAGAUUCAUCGCUGAUAGAUAGGCAUGCGUUCCAUUAGGUAGUAGGCGGGGUAACGGCCCACCUAGCCGACGAUGGAUAGGGGGUUCUGAGAGGAAGGUCCCCCACAUUGGAACUGAGACACGGUCCAAACUCCUACGGGAGGCAGCAGUGAGGAAUAUUGGUCAAUGGACGAGAGUCUGAACCAGCCAAGUAGCGUGAAGGAUGAAGGUCCUACGGAUUGUAAACUUCUUUUAUAAGGGAAUAAACCCUCCCACGUGUGGGAGCUUGUAUGUACCUUAUGAAUAAGCAUCGGCUAACUCCGUG
rnacentral:rRNA from 1 species